rnacentral:rRNA from 1 species
UACAGAGGCCUCGAGCGUUAGGCGGAAUCACUGGGCUUAAAGCGUGUGUAGGCGGACUUCUAAGUACCUUGUGAAAUCCCACGGCUCAACCGUGGAACUGCUUGGUAUACUGCGGGUCUUGAGCCACCUAGGGGCAAGUGGAACAAACGGUGGAGCGGUGAAAUGCGUAGAUAUCGUUUGGAACGCCAAUGGUGAAAACAACUUGCUGGGGGUGUGCUGACGCUGAGACACGAAAGCCAGGGGAGCAAACGGG